rnacentral:rRNA from 1 species
UGAACCUGCGGAAGGAUCAUUACCGAGUUUUCGGGCUUCGGCUCGACUCUCCCACCCUUUGUGAACGUACCUCUGUUGCUUUGGCGGCUCCGGCCGCCAAAGGACCUCCAAACUCCAGUCAGUAAACGCAGACGUCUGAUAAACAAGUUAAUAAACUAAAACUUUCAACAACGGAUCUCUUGGUUCUGGCAUCGAUGAAGAACGCAGCGAAAUGCGAUAAGUAAUGUGAAUUGCAGAAUUCAGUGAAUCAUCGAAUCUUUGAACGCACAUUGCGCCCCUUGGUAUUCCGGGGGGCAUGCCUGUUCGAGCGUCAUUACAACCCUCAAGCUCUGCUUGGAAUUGGGCACCGUCCUCACUGCGGACGCGCCUCAAAGACCUCGGCGGUGGCUGUUCAGCCCUCAAGCGUAGUAGAAUACACCUCGCUUUGGAGUGGUUGGCGUCGCCCGCCGGACGAACCUUCUGAACUUUUCUCAAGGUUGACCUCGGAUCAGGUAGGGAUACCCGCUGAACUUAAGCAUAUCAAUAAGCGGAGGAA